rnacentral:rRNA from 1 species
AACGAACGCUGGCGGCAUGCCUACACAUGCAAGUCGAACGAGACCUUCGGGUCUAGUGGCGCACGGGUGCGUAACGCGUGGGAACCUGCCCUUAGGUUCGGAAUAACUCCCCGAAAGGGGUGCUAAUACCGGAUAAUGUCUUCGGACCAAAGAUUUAUCGCCUUUGGAUGGGCCCGCGUUGGAUUAGCUAGUUGGUAGGGUAAAAGCCUACCAAGGCGACGAUCCAUAGCUGGUCUGAGAGGAUGAUCAGCCACACUGGGACCGAGACACGGCCCAGACUCCUACGGGAGGCAGCAGUGGGGAAUAUUGGACAAUGGGCGAAAGCCUGAUCCAGCAAUGCCGCGUGAGUGAUGAAGGCCUUAGGGUUGUAAAGCUCUUUUACCCGGGAUGAUAAUGACAGUACCGGGAGAAUAAGCUCCGGCUAACUCCGUG